AUGCUUUUAGAAGUGAAGAAAAUUCAUCACAAUAUGGGGGAAAGUUGUGAGCAUGAAAGAGCAACUUUUGUGUCAACUCUACCAAAGCUCCAGCAUCUGGCUUUCCCUUGUUUAUGCUCCUGCCACCUGUGCAUGCCAAUCCAACAUGAGACAGCCAGACAGGUGAUGUGGCACCUCAAGGCCCUCCAGAUUGAGAGCUGGAAUAAAGCAAGGGGGGAAUUGUAAGCAGCACUCCAAAAUGGAACUUUAAAGGUUAGGUUUUUUCUUUCAGAGAUAAGCAACUUCUUCAAACUUCCUCUUGCUGUGCACCUAGUGGAUAUCUUCUUCCUCCUGGUCUCAGAUGAAGUGAUGGAUAUGCAGAUGCCACCAGCUGCCCCCCCUCCCUCCCUGAGGCCGGGCCCAUUUUCCUUUUCACAAGAAAGAGGAGGAUGAGCUAAAGAUGACUGAAAGUGAUAAAGCAAGUGUGAAGUUCUGCUGUUAUCUCUCUGUGCUCCCCUCACCUCUGUUCCUUUCUUUAAAAGACACAUCUGUAUACAGAGAGAUGGUGAUUCAAAAUAAAUUUCUCCUUUUUAUCAAAAUAUAUGGCCUCCUUUGAUUUGGUCAGUGGUGAGUGAAUAAACCUAAGUGGCUGGUAAUACUAUGGUUAAUAUGCUAAGGAAUAAUGGAGAAAGUAGAC
rnacentral:lncRNA from 1 species